rnacentral:rRNA from 1 species
AUGAACAAUAGGAUCUUUGGGAGUAUCCCUGCAGACAUUGGCAAUCUGGUUGGUCUGGAAGUACUUGGGAUAGCAAAUACUUUGAUAACCGGAGUGAUUCCAGAGACCAUCGGUAAGCUAAAGAACUUAGUCGAUCUAGGCUUGUACAACAAUAGCUUGUCUGGGCUCAUACCAUCAUCGCUAGGAAACCUUUCACAGUUAAAUAGGCUUUAUGCAUAUUAUGGCAACUUGGAGGGGCCAAUUCCGGCAAGCCUGGGAAAGUUGAAAAACCUCUUUGUUCUUGAUUUGUCAAAGAAUUACCACCUUAACGGUUCCAUACCCACAGAGAUUUUUAAAUUACCCGGCCUUGCUUGGUAUUUGGACUUGUCACACAAUUCCCUUUCUGGUCCCCUUCCUAAUGAAGUUGGUCGUUUGACAGAUCUUAACCGACUGACUCUAUCAGGAAACCGGUUGUUUGGCAAGAUACCUGAUAGUAUUCAGAACUGCUUAGUAUUGGAAUGGCUAUCAUUAGACAACAAUUUGUUUGAGGGAAGCAUACCUCGGUCACUGAGAAAUAUAAAGGGGCUCAGAGUAUUGAACCUGACCAUGAAUAAGCUCUCUGGUAAUAUUCCUGAUGCUCUUGGCCAUAUUGGAAGCCUGGAAGAACUAUACAUAGCACACAACAGCUUAUCAGGGUCAAUCCCAUCAGUUCUACAGAAUUUGACAUCAUUGUCUGUACUGGAUAUAUCCUUCAAUAAUUUGCAAGGUGAGGUGCCAGAUGAAGGUGUUUUCAGAAACAUCACUUACUUAGCAGUUGCUGGGAAUAUUAAUCUGUGUGGUGGUACACCUCAACUUCACUUGGCUCCAUGCCCCACAAGCCCCUCAAGCAAGAACAGAAAAAUGAUGCCAAAGUCUCUUGUAAUUUCUCUAGCAACAGCCGGAGCAAUCUUGCUGUCACUUCUAGUUAUUCUUCUUCUUUGGAUAUUUUGCAAGAAGGUCAAACCAAGCCAGAAGACAUUAGCACACAAUUCAAUUGUUGAUGACCAUUACAAGAGAAUCCCAUAUCAUGCAUUACUGAGGGAGACUAAUGAAUUUUCAAUAGCCAACUUGCUUGGGAGAGGAAGUUAUGGUGCGGUUUAUAAGUGUGUUUUGGACACUGAAGAUAGAACAUUGGCUGUCAAGGUAUUUAAUCUUGGUCAAUCUAGGUAUGCCAAGAGUUUUGAGGUUGAAUGUGAGGCCAUGAGAAGGAUACGACACCGUUGUCUGAUUAAGAUCAUUACUUCUUGUUCGAGCGUCAACCACCAAGGUCAAGAGUUCAAGGCAUUGGUUUUUGAGUUCAUGCCCAAUGGUAACUUGGAUGGUUGGCUUCAUCCAAAAUCUCAAGAACCCACCACAAACAACACGCUUAGCCUUGCCCAGAGGCUUGAUAUUGUGGACGCAAUAGAAUAUCUGCACAACUACUGUCAACCAUUGGUAAUCCAUUGCAAUCUUAAGCCAAGCAACAUUCUUCUUGCUGGAGACAUGAGUGCACGAGUUGGAGACUUUGGCAUAUCAAGGAUCCUUCAAGAAAAUACCAGCGAGGGGAUGCAAACUUCAUAUGGCUCAACUGGAAUUAGAGGUUCCAUAGGCUAUGUUGCUCCAGGUGACCGAAACUAUUCUAAUUUAUAUUUUCCUUUUCACUUGAAUAUGGCAUGGGGGCAUGGAGCAGAAAAAGAUGCCUCGACUCGAGAAAUCAAGAAUAGCCUUGAAUAA